rnacentral:rRNA from 1 species
GAUGAACGCUGGCGGCGUGCCUAAUACAUGCAAGUCGAGCGAACAGACGAGGAGCUUGCUCCUUUGACGUUAGCGGCGGACGGGUGAGUAACACGUGGAUAACCUACCUAUAAGACUGGGAUAACUUCGGGAAACCGGAGCUAAUACCGGAUAACAUGUUGAACCGCAUGGUUCAACAGUGAAAGACGGUCUUGCUGUCACUUAUAGAUGGAUCCGCGCCGCAUUAGCUAGUUGGUAAGGUAACGGCUUACCAAGGCAACGAUGCGUAGCCGACCUGAGAGGGUGAUCGGCCACACUGGAACUGAGACACGGUCCAGACUCCUACGGGAGGCAGCAGUAGGGAAUCUUCCGCAAAGGGCGAAAGCCUGACGGAGCAACGCCGCGUGAGUGAAGAAGGUCUUCGGAUCGUAAAACUCUGUUAUUAGGGAAGAACAAAUGUGUAAGUAACUAUGCACGUCUUGACGGUACCUAAACAGAAAGCCACGGCUAACUACGUG